GGAGGGAGAGAAGGAGGAGAGUUAGCGAGGGGAAGAGGUGGAGAGGAGUGGUGGAGAGUUGGAGAGGUGAAAAGUUGGACAGGUGAAGAGUUUGAGAGGUGGAGAAUUGGAGAAAUGGGGAGUUAGCAAGAGGGAGAGGUGGAGAGAAGGAGAGUUAGCAAGGGGGAGAGGUGGAGAAUUCGAGAGUUGGAGAGUUGAGUUAGCGAUGUGGAGAGGUGGAGAGUGGAGAAAGGUGGAGAGUUAGAGAGGUGAAGAGGUGGAGAGUUAAGUUAUAAUUUAUAGUUUCUUUCCAGUUCCUCUUCUUUUCUUCCUCUCCACUACUACUACUACUACUACUACUACUACUACUACUACUACUACUACUACUGCUACUACUACUACUACUACUA